rnacentral:rRNA from 1 species
UACAGAGGGUGCAAGCGUUGCUCGGAAUCAUUGGGCGUAAAGGGCAGGUAGGUGGUCUUAUUUGUCAGGGGUGAAAGCCUUGGGCUUAACCCAAGAAGUGCCCCUGAAACGGUAGGACUAGAGUCUUGGAGAGGGUCGUGGAAUUCCCGGUGUAGCGGUGAAAUGCGUAGAGAUCGGGAGGAACACCAGAGGCGAAAGCGGCGACCUGGACAAGCACUGACACUCAACUGCGAAAGCGUGGGUAGCAAACAGG